rnacentral:rRNA from 1 species
UGGGGAAUAUUGGACAAUGGGCGAAAGCCUGAUCCAGCCAUGCCGCGUGUGUGAAGAAGGUCUUCGGAUUGUAAAGCACUUUAAGUUGGGAGGAAGGGCAGUUACCUAAUACGUGAUUGUUUUGACGUUACCGACAGAAUAAGCACCGGCUAACUCUGUGCCAGCAGCCGCGGUAAUACAGAGGGUGCAAGCGUUAAUCGGAAUUACUGGGCGUAAAGCGCGCGUAGGUGGUUUGUUAAGUUGGAUGUGAAAUCCCCGGGCUCAACCUGGGAACUGCAUUCAAAACUGACUGACUAGAGUAUGGUAGAGGGUGGUGGAAUUUCCUGUGUAGCGGUGAAAUGCGUAGAUAUAGGAAGGAACACCAGUGGCGAAGGCGACCACCUGGACUAAUACUGACACUGAGGUGCGAAAGCGUGGGGAGCAAAUA